rnacentral:rRNA from 1 species
GACGAACGCUGGCGGCGUGCUUAACACAUGCAAGUCGAACGGAAAGGCCCUGCUUUUGUGGGGUGCUCGAGUGGCGAACGGGUGAGUAACACGUGAGUAACCUGCCCUUGACUUUGGGAUAACUUCAGGAAACUGGGGCUAAUGCCGGAUAGGAGCUCCUGCUGCAUGGGGGGGGUUGGAAAGUUUCGGCGGUUGGGGAUGGACUCGCGGCUUAUCAGCUUGUUGGUGGGGUAGUGGCUUACCAAGGCUUUGACGGGUCGCCGGCCUGGGAGGGUGACCGGCCACAUUGGGACUGCGAUACGGCCCAGACUCCUACGGGAGGCAGCAGUGGGGAAUAUUGCACAAUGGGCGGAAGCCUGAUGCAGCAACGCCGCGUGCGGGAUGACGGCCUUCGGGUUGUAAACCGCUUUCGCCUGUGACGAAGCGUGAGUGACGGUAAUGGGUAAAGAAGCACCGGCUAACUACGUG